UCUUAUUUCCCCGGGACGCGCACUGCCUGCCGUGAGCGCGCACGAAGCGCCAUCACGUGGGAGGUCCCUUUAAGUUUCCAUCGACAGAGGCCUGAGCGUGUCACAUGGACAUGAUAUAAUGAAAAGGCAGGAACACAGAGGCAGAGUGCGUGGAGAUCUCGGCCAAUGGAGAAGGGGUCGAAAUGUACGCAGUCAUCUGCCGACAGCCUGCAGCCCUGCGAAGAGAGGGACAGUGUGGCCGAGCCGAUCCUGCCCGGGGCGGGCCGAGCCGGACUCACUGCGCCUCAUCGGACGGGACCUCUCUAUUCGCAGUUGCACCUGCCAGCUAUGACCCGCACUUUAAAAUAGGAGGAAAAUGUCGCCUGUGAGCGCGCGUAUUUCGCCUGGGUCCCGGAGCAGAAGAGGAGCGCCUUUCAGCGCUUCACUGGAACGUCUUGUAUGCUGCGGAUGCCUUUUGGGCUUUUAAAUUUGGAAGCAGGAUUAGUAUGACGCACUACUGGCAUAAAGAGACACACCCACUUUAUUUUGUAGGACAGGACACACACACACACAGGAAGAGGAAAGCAGUGUGUGACUCUGUGACUGUCAGGACACAGCGAGAGGCAGGAGGCACCACUCGUGAGAGGAUGUUGUGAGACGACCGAGGGGACACGGUCCUCUGGUGAAACACAUGCUGUCAUUGUGGCCUAAUUCUAAAGGGAAGGAAAGUUCUGUUUGCAAAUGUCAGAAGGGAAACUGUGAGGAGAGGACAAGAAGAGACACACCUACACACACACACAGCGGCAGCGUGGAGGGACAGAUGGAGCGGCGGGGAGGCUGACAUCACUGUCACCUGUGGGAGCCGGAGCCUACCAUUCAUGCCAGCGGUGUGUGUGUGUGUGUGUGUGUGUGCGUGUGUGCGUGUGCAUCUGUGAGAGCCUCUGUCUCUGUGUGUCACUUCCUGGGAGAGAAUAGAACAGGAAGCUGAGUGAGAGCCGAGUGAGAGCCGACAACAAGCGCUCGCCUCACCUCCACAAGGAAGCCUUUCUCCCCAGAGAGCUGUGUGUGUGUGUGUGUGUGUGUGUGUGUGUGUGUGUGUGUGUGUGUGUGUGUGUGUGUGUGUGUGUGUGUGUAAGCCUUCCCUGUUUCCAUUUUAUUUUAGUUAAAGUCUGACUAUUUUCAAAUCUGAACAAAUUGUGCACAGACUCUUUAGUUGCAACAACAAUUGACCAAGUGACCAAUAUGACAUGUGUGUGUAGUAACAGAGCACAGACACCCACCUUUUCCCUCCAUCUGUUAUCUAUACCUUUAUGUUACAUGUGUGAUCGCCUGCAGAUCAUUUCCAGGCCUGUCCAAUCUGUAGAAAUACACUGAAACGUCUGGAUACUCCGCUGAGAUGAGGGUCAGACACAAAGUGAAACUGAAACUUAGCUGCAUUAUAAUUCUCUGUAAUUUUAAGUUUAUCAUUGAAGUAAACUGCCACCUCGAGUCUCUGAAAACAGUGAAGAUGUCUCAUAUGAUGCCACUGCCUUGAGAAUACUGUUAUUCUUAUGCAUUAUGUAUUUUAAAAUUCGAUUCAGGAAUAUUAGCAGCAUAUAAUCCUGAAAAGACACAACUUUAAUAACUUUAAUAAGGUAAAGGCAAACUAAAGAGUGUUAUAACAGGAACAUAAUCCAAUGCGAAGCUUCACGUGUGUCGGUUUAUUGUUCAAACUUUUAGUUUAUGGUGUAACUGACCUUUGACCUCCCUAAACUGAGGGCAGGAGCUGCACCAUGUCAUGUCGCCUUCUAGUGCCAAUAAACAGGAUUACAGGAUGCAAUGUGUUAAAUCACAUCUGACAGAAUGACAAAAUAUAGUGCCAGGGGUUAAAGUGCCACCCCGGACUAAUGCUGUCAUUAAAGCGUGGACGUGCCAGGUGUCGCUCCCUCUUACACUCACUGAGGCUCAUUUUGCAGACAUCUUUCCAACACCUGUAAGAGCCGCCGGGACAAAGCAGCAUUUACUGUAAGCCUUGUUGUCAUGACGACCUGUCCUGUUACAUAAGUGCCGGGCGCCAGUUCCCACAGACGGUUGCGUACAGACGUCUUUGUGCUGCGACACGAAACACCACACACUCACUGUUUGUGCAUUCCUGCAGCUGCAGCAUUUAAUCUGCUGUUCGGGUUUCAAAUCUGAUUUUUCUUCCCGCUAUUGAGGAGAAUGUUCCUUCCGGGAGGCACAAGUUCAUCCUGCUGAUCAAUCCUAAAUCAAACGUUUUAAUCUAAUACAUCUGUAGUUUGAAUCUGUCUUCCUGCAGGGAGCUGCGUCUGUUCUUACUGGAGACAACAUUAGCAGGGAUUGACUUUUCCAAUAAAGAUUUAAACAACCGUAUUGAUUAAACAGAGAAAAGGCAGCUUUACUUUGUGAAGUAAGAAAACUAAAUAUGGACCUGCAUGUGCCUCUCAGCUGCAGACAAGAUGUCCGUCACUUUUAUAUCACAACAAAAUAUUACUCCUGUGAUAUCAAAACAAGUUUAUAACAGACCAUCUGACAGCACGACUCAAACUGCCCGGCAGUAUAAAUCUGCAUUUCUAAAAUGUUUGUAAGAAGCCAUCAAGUUCAUAUUUUAAACUUAGAUGAACUUGUGACAGAGGGAGAGCAUUCAGAGCACCAACGCCACGUUUUCUUGAUUUUAUUAGCAAGGUGUGUCCCUGUCACGGUGUCCACACCUGCAGCUGCAGUCAGCUGCAUUCAAUGGCACAAAGCUCUAUGAGCUAAUAUUGGAGUUAAGUGUGUGUGUAGUACUCAUGAAUACUAAUGUGUGUGUACUUAUACUUACUAUUAUCCACGUCAUGUGAUUCUUCGUCUCUGCAGGAUCAGCAGCGGUGGUGAGGCUGCGAGUUAGAACAGCGACACAUUAUUUACAUUGUUCUUUGUAUGUAACUGACAGCGAUGAGCUCGUCCUGAUCAGGCGCUGCUGUCGUGCUGUCAGCCUCGUUUGUUCUGAUGAAUGUUCUGUUUGGAUCCUCUCUGCUGGAGGUCAUCACGUGCCAGCUGUCCAUGUCGCUGCGCUGCCAUGACAACCACACUGGUGUUUGAGACAGACUUCCACUGAAUAAGAAGCGCUGUCAUGUUUCUCUUCCUCUGACAGAUGCACGGGCUGCAGGGACAGUUUGAGUGAAUCACUGACUCCAGUGAUGUGUGUGCGUUGUGCUUUUCAUGGUGUUCGGCCUUAAUAUUUAUAUUUUAUAUUUAGUAGCAUAAGAAGUAAUGUUGAUGUUAUUUCUCAGGGUUCUUUUAAGGGUUCGUUCUUUGCUCCAGGUUUGGAGUAAUUUGAUUAAAGAUAGCACCAAAUGUAUAAACUAAUAAUAAUGGUAAUAAUAAUGUAUUUACUGUAUAUGUCUUUGUUUAUUUACGUAUUCACACAGGUUAAAAACUAUUCUUCUUGAUUUCUUGACAAAUUACUUCAUUUUUUGAAAGUUUUUGCCAAAGAUACUGAACCAAAGUGGCACAAAAAUGUCAAAUUGAAGAUAAAAAAAACGUUUUACUGCUCAGUUUUGUUCCGUAUGCACUCAGAAAUAAAUAAAUAAGCAAAGUUAUUGCAGUGAUAAGAUAUAAUUGUGAGUGCUGUCAGAGGAUGUGUUCUCUGUCACAGUCGACGGAGGAUUCAGCUCCACGCCUUCCUUCCUAAAUCAGGUAACUUUUACGAUCCCUUUAUUCUCCUUAAGGAGCUGAUAAAACACAUUUUUAGAAACAAAAGGAACUUGUGACUGUAAUUCCCUCGGUUCAUCUCACUGCUGCUGCAGCUGACACUAAAUACGUCUUCCUCCAGAAGCUGGUUUCACAUGGUGGUUUAGAUGUGUGUUCCCAUUGUCUAGCACCAUUUGAAAUCAGUGUUCUUGGGGACAGGAGGACAGCUGAGUGAGCCUCAGGAGGACAAGCACAGGACUGUCCUUCCUCCUCCUAUUUCUCCUCUAAAAGAUAACUGAUUUCUUCUGGUGCUUAGAGCCAGCUGCAGCCUUCUAGCACCAUUUGAAAUCGGUUGUAGAAAUGUGGAUCAAUGCAUCUGUGAGUCUUCGGCAAAACGCAGGACGAGCAGAAGAAAGUAACUCCGGCCUCUUCGUUCAAGCUGAAGGAAAUCAAUAUUGAUGUUCUUCACGUGAUCUCAACUCUAACUGAUCUCACUUGUAUCUUCUGUACAACAGUUAUCAUUUACUCUGCAGUUCCCACUGACCACCACUAGAGGCCGACAGAAGUCACAGAAUACUUUGAAGAGAAUUAAAAGUCUUUCUAAAAACGAACAAUAAAGCAGAUGCAUCACAGGA